UACGGAGGGUGCAAGCGUUAUCCGGAUUCACUGGGUUUAAAGGGUGCGUAGGCGGGUUGGUAAGUCCGUGGUGAAAUCUCCGAGCUUAACUCGGAAACUGCCGUGGAUACUAUCAAUCUUGAAUAUCGUGGAGGUAAGCGGAAUAUGUCAUGUAGCGGUGAAAUGCUUAGAGAUGACAUAGAACACCAAUUGCGUAGGCAGCUUACUACGCGAUCAUUGACGCUGAGGCACGAAAGCGUGGGGAGCAAACAGG
rnacentral:rRNA from 1 species